rnacentral:rRNA from 1 species
AUGCGGAGAAGACGCUUGGUAGUCUUUUUGAAGGCCAUGUUUGACAAAUCCAUUGUUGAAUAUACUCUUGUGUAUAUUCAAUCUGUACCGGCCCUCGCGGAGAUCAUGAACCUCUGGAACGUUCUUCAUCACGUUGUGAUUCAGCAAAAUCUGGACAGCUUCAGGUGGCGGUUGGCCUCGAACGGAAAGUUCUCCGCGAAGACGGCCUACGCCGCCCUCUUUGCCAGCAGAGAGUUCUUUCCGGGCAUGGUGGAGCUUUGGUCCUCUUGGGCGCCUUUGGAAGUCAAGAUUUUUGUCUGGCUGGCUUUACAUAAUCGUCUCUGGACCGUCAAUCGCCUUGCCAAGAGAAAUAUGCAGCACCCACCCCAAUGCGUGAUGUGCUGCUAG